rnacentral:rRNA from 1 species
AUUGAACGCUGGCGGCAGGCUUAACACAUGCAAGUCGAGCGGAGAUGAGGUGCUUGCACCUUAUCUUAGCGGCGGACGGGUGAGUAAUGCUUAGGAAUCUGCCUAUUAGUGGGGGACAACAUUCCGAAAGGAAUGCUAAUACCGCAUACGUCCUACGGGAGAAAGCAGGGGAUCUUCGGACCUUGCGCUAAUAGAUGAGCCUAAGUCGGAUUAGCUAGUUGGUGGGGUAAAGGCCUACCAAGGCGACGAUCUGUAGCGGGUCUGAGAGGAUGAUCAGCCGCACUGGGACUGAGACACUGCCCAGACUCCUACGGGAGGCAGCAGUGGGGAAUAUUGGACAAUGGGGGGAACCCUGAUCCAGCCAUGCCGCGUGUGUGAAGAAGGCCUUAUGGUUGUAAAGCACUUUUAGUGAGGAGGAAAGACUUAGAGCUAAUACCUCUAAGGGUUGACGUUACUCACAGAAAAAGCACCGGCAAACUCUGUGCCAGCCGCCGCCGUAAUAC